GCAGGAUUUCCGUCGUACCAAGAAGCCAAAAGAGCAGUGGCCAGAGAUUCACGAGCCCAAUCCCAGAAAUCGUCAGCAUGUUGGAUUGACAUGAAAGUAUUGUCACCGUAGUUCUUUUGAUUGAUGUUCAAGAUUGUGCUCAUCUGAAAA
ensembl:ncRNA ZK945.11 ncRNA